AGCUCCUUGUUGGAGAAGCAGGGCACGUGCAAUUCUCUUGCCUUUUCUUCUUUGCCAUUGAAUUCUUUGCACGUGCUCCCCUUCUCCAACAUGGGUUC